rfam:Oryza rufipogon genomic scaffold, chr11
AAAAAGACAAACUAUAGGUUUCCGUGUCCAACUUUGACCGUACGUCUUAUAUGAAAUUUUUUUAUAAUUCGUAUUUUCAUUGUUGUUAGAUGAUAAAACAUGAUUAAUAUUUUAUGCGCGACUUGUCUUUUUAAUUUUUUUUCAUAAUUUUUUUUAAAUAAGACGAACAGUCAAAUGUUAGACACGGAAACCAGGGUUUGUCUUUUU